ensembl:lncRNA
CCCAUAGCCCCCCAUAGAACCCCAUUAGAGCCCCUUAGAGCCCCAUAGAGCCCCAUAGAGCCACAUAGAGCCCCAUAGAGCCCCGUAGCCGCCCCAUAGAGCCCCAUAGAGCCCCAUAGAGCUCCAUAGAGCCCCAUAGCGCCCCAUAGAGCCCCAUAGAUCCCCAUAGAGCCCCAUAGAGCCCCAUACCCGCUUAUAGAGCCCCAUAGAGCCCCAUACCCGCCUUAUAGAGCCCCAGAAAGCCCCAGAGAGCCCCAUAGAGCCCCACAGAGCUCAAUAGAGCCCCAUAGCAACCCUAGAGCGCCCAUAGAGCCACAUAGAGCCCCAUAAAAGCCCAUAGAGCCCCACAGAGCCCCAUAGAGCCCCAUAGGACCCCAUAGCCGCCCCAUAGAGCCCAAGAGAGCCCCAUAGAGCCCCAUAGCCGCCCCAUAGAGGCCCAUAGAGACCCAUAGAGCCCCAUAGCCGCCCCAUAGAGCCCCAUAGAGCCCCAUAGAGCCCCAUAGAACCCCGUAGCCGCCCCAUAGAGCCCCAUAGAGCGCCCAUAGAGCCCCAUAGCCGCCCCAUAGAGCCCAAUAGAGCCCCACAGCCCGCCCCAUAGAGCCCCAUUGAGCCCCAUAGCCGCCCCAUAGAG